rnacentral:rRNA from 1 species
GCACAACGCGAAGAACCUUACCACCUUUUGACAUGCCUGGACCGCCACGGAGACGUGGCUUUCCCUUCGGGGACGUAGGACACAGGUGCUGCAUGGCUGUCGUCAGCUCGUGUCGUGAGAUGUUGGGUUAAGUCCCGCAACGAGCGCAACCCUCGCCAUUAGUUGCCAUCAUUUAGUUGGGAACUCUAAUGGGACUGCCGGUGCUAAGCCGGAGGAAGGUGGGGAUGGACGUCAAGUCCUCAUGGCCCUUACAGGGUGGGCUACACACGUGCUACAAUGGCGACUACAGAGGGUUAAUCCGUUUAAAAAGUCGUACUCAGUUCGGAUUGUCCUCUGCAACUCGAGGGCAUGAAGUUGGAAUCGCUAGUAAUCGCGGAUCAGCAUGCCGCGGUGAAUAC